rnacentral:rRNA from 8 species
UCGGUCCCUAUCUGCCGUGGGCGCUGGAGAAUUGAGGGGGGCUGCUCCUAGUACGAGAGGACCGGAGUGGACGCAUCACUGGUGUUCGGGUUGUCAUGCCAAUGGCACUGCCCGGUAGCUAAAUGCGGAAGAGAUAAGUGCUGAAAGCAUCUAAGCACGAAACUUGCCCCGAGAUGAGUUCUCCCUGAGACUUUAAGUCUCCUGAAGGAACGUUGAAGACGACGACGUUGAUAGGCCGGGUGUGUAAGCGCAGCGAUGCGUUGAGCUAACCGGUACUAAUGAACCGUGAGGCUUAACCUU